rnacentral:rRNA from 1 species
UAUCAGAGGGGGAUAACCCGGCGAAAGUCGGACUAAUACCGCAUGAAGCAGGGAUCCCGCAUGGGAAUAUUUGCUAAAGAUUCAUCGCUGAUAGAUAGGCAUGCGUUCCAUUAGGCAGUUGGCGGGGUAACGGCCCACCAAACCGACGAUGGAUAGGGUUUCUGAGAGGAAGGUCCCCCACAUUGGUACUGAGACACGGACCAAACUCCUACGGGAGGCAGCAGUGAGGAAUAUUGGUCAAUGGCCGAGAGGCUGAACCAGCCAAGUCGCGUGAAGGAAGAAGGAUCUAUGGUUUGUAAACUUCUUUUAUAGGGGAAUAAAGUGGAGGACGUGUCCUUUUUUGUAUGUACCCUAUGAAUAAGCAUCGGCUAACUCCGUGCCAGCAGCCGCGGUAAUACGGAGGAUGCGAGCGUUAUCCGGAUUUAUUGGGUUUAAAGGGUGCGUAGGUGGUGAUUUAAGUCAGCGGUGAAAGUUUGUGGCUCAACCAUAAAAUUGCCGU